rnacentral:rRNA from 1 species
UACAGAGGUCCCGAGCGUUGUUCGGAUUCAUUGGGCGUAAAGGGUGCGUAGGCGGCGCGGUAAGUCGGGUGUGAAAUCUUGGAGCUUAACUCCGAAACUGCAUUCGAUACUGCCGUGCUUGAGGACUGGAGAGGAGACUGGAAUUUACGGUGUAGCGGUGAAAUGCGUAGAUAUCGUAAGGAAGACCAGUGGCGAAGGCGGGUCUCUGGACAGUUCCUGACGCUGAAGCACGAAGGCCAGGGGAGCAAACGGG